rnacentral:rRNA from 1 species
UACGUAGGGUGCAAGCGUUGUCCGGAAUUAUUGGGCGUAAAGGGCGCGUAGGCGGCCGAUCAAGUCGGGGGUGAAAGCCUGUGGCUCAACCACAGAAUUGCCUUCGAUACUGGUUGGCUUGAGACCGGAAGAGGUAAGUGGAACUGCGAGUGUAGAGGUGAAAUUCGUAGAUAUUCGCAAGAACACCAGUGGCGAAGGCGGCUUACUGGUCCGGUUCUGACGCUGAGGCGCGAAAGCGUGGGGAGCAAACAGG